rnacentral:rRNA from 1 species
CAGUGGCGCACGGGUGAGUAACACGUGAAUGAUCUACCUCCGAGUGGGGAACAACUGAGAGAAAUCUUAGCUAAUACCGCAUAACACUUACGAGUCAAAGCAGCAAUGCGCUUGGAGAGGAGUUCGCGGCCGAUUAGUUAGUUGGCGGGGUAAUGGCCCACCAAGACGAUGAUCGGUAUCCGGCCUGAGAGGGCGCACGGACACACUGGAACUGAAACACGGUCCAGACUCCUACGGGAGGCAGCAGUGGGGAAUUUUGCGCAAUGGGGGAAACCCUGACGCAGCAACGCCGCGUGGAGGAUGAAAUAUCUUGGUAUGUAAACUCCUUUCGAUGGGGAAGAUUAUGACGGUACCCAUAGAAGAAGCCCCGGCUAACUUCGUGCCAGCAGCCGCGGUAAUACGAGGGGGGCAAGCGUUGUUCGGAAUUAUUGGGCGUAAAGGGCGCGUAGCGGUGCGGUAAGUCACCUGUGAAACCUCUAGGCUUACCUAAGCCUGCAGGCGAAACUGCCGUGCUGGAGGGUGGGAGAGGUGCGUGGAAUUCCCGGUGUAGCGUGAAAUGCGU